ACCGGCGUGGACGCAGAGGCGCGAACUUUUAAUACGUGUGAACGCUCCUUUAUUAGUAGCGUGACCAAUCAGCGCUGACGCUAUUAAUCAAACGUCUAACAUCGUUCUGUGUACGCCGUAUACACACCCUACCGAGUAAUACACGAACCGUUCUUCUUACAAUUACUUACGUAUGUAUAUCUACGAAGUUUCACAAAUUUCGUGUCCAUAUUUUCACGAAUCAAUCGAAUUUUUUAAUGCGUAAUAAUAUCAGCGAUAAAAUCUCGAUUAUCAGAACGAUCGAUUAUUGGAACAUCGAUUAAAAAAAAAUUCAAUUAUGAAACUAAAAAUUUUAUUUAUGGAACAUUCGAUCAUCGAAAUUUUUUGAUAAUAGUAAUAUCGACGAUAAAAUCUCGAUUAUCAAAACGAUCGACUAUAGGAACAUCGAUUAAAGAAAAAUUCGACUAUAAAACUAGAAAUUUGAUUAACGAAAUGUUUGAUUAUCUGAAUAUUAUUAUUUAAUUUUUAUCUAAUAUAAAAGGUAAAGAGAAUAUUUUCCUAAGAUUUAUUUGUUUUUACUAUACUUUUUUUUAUCUUUUUUACUAUUCUUCGUUUAUAUUAUGUUUCUGAAUUAUUACUAAAAUCUAUAGGUUAGAUUUUUUAUUGGUGACAUUUUCUAUACAUAUCGUAAUCUUGACGAAACGAAAACGUAUUUUAUCAAAGAAAAUGUGUCAUUAUUUUUUAUUAAAUCUGUGAUUAAUUAAUUCUGUGCUUCAGUUUUAAAAGUUAGUAUUUAUAUGAGCAAAAAUUAUAUUUUAACUUUUAUUUUUUAAAAUAUUAGUCAUUACUUUGACUCGUGAUGUUUCGAUAUUCUAUAUCAUCUUUCAAGCAAAUUUCAAUUUACGUAAAAUUAAUUAUAUUUCUUAAAUUUCAUUUUUCAUUUUGAAUUUAAGAUGAGAUACAAUCGAUUAAUUAUGAGAACUACGAAUUAAUUUGUAAAUUCAAUAUUAUCAAUUACGAUUCUACUUGUGAAUGUGAAAGAAUAAUGUGUAAAGUGAUGUGAACAUUGAAAUCAAGAAAGAAAUCUCUUUUACUUUAUCGUUCGUUUAAUCCAAAUACGAAUCUUUCCUAUGAAUUAAUUACAGAAACAUUUCCGGCGUAGUGAAAGCGGAAGUAGCGUGUAAAAGAAAGUCUAAUCAGUAUAAUAUAUGUAACGAACAAUUCCAUACGUAAUUUUUUUCGACGAAUAUCUGAACUGAAUCAUCAUGGACAUUUCUUUCUCCUUUUAAUUAAAAUGAUUUACGAUAUCCAAUUAGGAUAGAUAUCAAACGGUAUUUUGUGAUAAGUUCCAACAGUUUUAAUUCGUUAGAUAAAAGAAUCCAACAUUUUUUUUUCUUUUUUGUCAAAGUCCAAUUCCAUGUACUGUUCAUAUCCAAGUCGAUUAAUUAAUCAAGUGUUUUCGCGGCGUGACACGUUCCUACCUGAGAUUCUCUCGUAUAUCUCGUUUGUGUUUCCGUAAUUAACGCGUUGAAUUGUUCCAUAUGAUGCGACACGGAAACUGGAAUGCGUGUUAGUGCGAUCGUAACACGGCAGUCCCAUGACUCGAUCAUAUGCAAAUCCAAAUGCAAUCUGGCAGAGCCGGUGACAACGAGUAACGGUCGAGAAACCUUAGGUGAUCCGAGGCGAUCGAAUUUCGAAAUCGACACGACUGCAUCGCAUAAUGGCCAUACAGUUACAGUUUGAAAAGGAGCAGAGACAAGUCACGUAAGAACUGAGGAGAGGAAAAAAAAAACGACAAAUGUAGGAAGCGGAAAAUUCAACGCUAUUUCAUUUGCUGCGAGAUAUAUAACUCAGAUUAUACGAAUGCAAAGAGAUUCUUCGACGUGCCAUAAAUUACACCUAAAUGUAUUACAACUACAAAAAGGCAAAUUCUGCUCCAAAAACACUGAGGCGAAUAUCUACUUACUAAUCUGAUCAUCGUGUCUGCCAAGUUGUUUUUACGAUUUUGAUACUCCGAAUUAACACUUUAUUGCGGCAAUCUAAGAUAUUCGUUACUUGGAGGAAGUUCGUGUGUUAAUAUCAAGAUCCAGAAUAUACGCCAAUUCAGUUUCGAGAGUGAUUUGUCAUUGUUCAUCAGCGUGUCUCGUUCGCAAGACAUUAAUCACUGCUGAGAAGGGAUUGCAAAGUUAAAGCGCAACAUUGAUGCAUCCGUGGAACAAAAGAAAAAGGCGUAGUUGAACGGCAUGAUGAAUCCACCGGUAGCCAAUUAAGUCCCAGGAGUGUCGUUAAACUACUACUCGUUAACGCUAAAAUGUCGCUCAGCGAAUAUAUGUAGGAUGGUUUAAAACGAGGAAACGGACGUGAAAAAUGACAAUUAACGUGCAGCAUGAGGAAACUAGCAGAAGUACGACGAAAUAUGUUACAUAAAAUUUCGCAAAACAUAUCUACGUUUGCGACAGUAGAGUUUCUAACGAUUUCGUUGCCGUUCGAGCCGUGUGAAAGAUCGUUAUCGGGCGCAAAAGGGACACCAAGCGUACGAGGAGAAUGGCAAUCGCAAAGCGUAAAUAAGCGUUCAUACACGUAUGAAUUAUAAUUUCAAUUUGGUAUAUUACACGGGACAAGUUGUUCCAGGAAACGAGCGCUCCAUAGCUCAACAACGAGAGCUAAAUGUGCAGAAGCCUUUUUAAUCCGCGCUUAAACAGUCGGCCGGUUCUGCGGCGAGAAAAGAAAGUCAGCUCCACGACUUCUUCUGAAGGCGGAUAUUUAAAAUGCGAGGAAAUGAAAUUGCCUAGAUGAACUCUCGUGAGCGCGCGCGCGCUCGUUUGAGAACCGGGAAGAUGGUAAAAUAAAGUAAUUGUUGCUAUUACCGGGCGACCAUUGCUCGGUGUUGGUAAAUUGCACGGUAUACGUGCAUAUACAUUAUGUAUAACGUUGUACAGGUGUAAGUGUGCACCGGGGAUUCUCUCUCUUUACCACGAGGCUUGUGAGAAUCCGGGCAAUUACGUUGCUCCGCUCGCUACGGAAUAUCUGGCUUGUUUAUAACGAAUUAAUUUAGAUGUCUUAAUUGCCAUCGGUUAAUUGUUGUGGAACACGGAGCGCGCUAUGGUAUCGCGGUGUGGAUCGUCGCUCUUCAAAGACACCCGGAAUUCACGAAAUGGGAUUGCAUUGCUUUCACCACACUCUUCCGCUCUUACCGACCGUUCAUUAAACUCCUCCUACAUUUUUACGCUACAAAGCGCUUGCUAAUGAAACGUUCAGAGAUUAUUUACAAAUCCAUUAUUCGAACGUAUUCGACACGUUGCUCGAUGAUGCAAUUAUUUUAAUUAUUUUAAAACUAUGGAUCCACUAUGGUACGCGGCAAAAGAUUAAAGGAGUAUCUUUAAUAGCGAACAAGGUGUAUUAAAUUUGGUAAAUUCCUUGGUCAUUAGCCACUCGAGGAAAUGAUAAAACGAAAUGCGUACGCGUCGGCGAUUACAAACCUGCAUUAUUCUCGCUUUCCUCCUGGGAAAGUUAAGGCAUCGAGCGUGUUAAUUAUAAUGAACGUUAAGUAACCGGUGUAUACGGGGCGCUAUUAUCGUUUGUACCGAGGCAACAAAAUCGCGCAGUCCUGCAUCACAUCGGGGAAAGCAGUUUACAGCUUGUUACUUAUCGCGAUGAAGUGCACUAAUGCGGUAAUGCACGAGAAAUCCUAUCGACCGGCAAAUCUACCAUGAAUUGAGCAUAACGAUGCUCGAAACGAUACAAUGCAACAUCGUAUAACAAUUUUUUUUUCGCAAUUUUUCGCUUAUACGAUUUUUCGCGGUUACACGCUUCCUGUUUUUUUUUCUUUUUUUUUUUUUUUUCAUUCCAAUAGCAAUCGAAUAGCAACCACGACGGAAUCAUUUCUAUAAUUUGCGCACGAUGGUGAAACGUGAUAUCGUAAUACGAUAAAAUAUACACCGCGUGUCAUAAAUAUGAAACAGGCCAAUAAAUUUCAAUUCUCAUGUGUUGUUAAUAUGUUUAUGCCGAGGCAAGUACAACACGUGUGAAUACAUAUCGAAAAAUGAUAUUUCUUUUUCGAAGGGAGUUGCUUAUAUCAGUCACAUAACUCAUUAAUCUCGUUUCGAAAGAAUGUUUAAGUAUAUAGAGAAAAUGUAGGAUAUAAAUUUAACUACCGAGUAUAAUGAGAAAAUAUAUUGAAAAUUAGUGGAGAGUGUUUAAAAAAAAGAGAAAAGAAAAAUAAUGAAAUUAAUCUGGAAUAAAUGUGAAAUGUCUUUAUACAUAAAUAAUAA